ACUCCUCGGGGAAGGCAAUAGAUUGUAUAGUUAUCUCCUGACAGGGUAAAAUAACUACCCCACAACUAUACAAUCUACUACCUCACUCCGCUAGAG
ensembl:miRNA